rnacentral:rRNA from 1 species
UACCNUGGUAGUCCACGCCGUAAACGAUGUCGACUUGGAGGUUGUUCCCUUGAGGAGUGGCUUCCGGAGCUAACGCGUUAAGUCGACCGCCUGGGGAGUACGGCCGCAAGGUUAAAACUCAAAUGAAUUGACGGGGGCCCGCACAAGCGGUGGAGCAUGUGGUUUAAUUCGAUGCAACGCGAAGAACCUUACCUACUCUUGACAUCCAGAGAACUUAGCAGAGAUGCUUUGGUGCCUUCGGGAACUCUGAGACAGGUGCUGCAUGGCUGUCGUCAGCUCGUGUUGUGAAAUGUUGGGUUAAGUCCCGCAACGAGCGCAACCCUUAUCCUUUGUUGCCAGCGGUUCGGCCGGGAACUCAAAGGAGACUGCCAGUGAUAAACUGGAGGAAGGUGGGGAUGACGUCAAGUCAUCAUGGCCCUUACGAGUAGGGCUACACACGUGCUACAAUGGCGCAUACAAAGAGAAGCGACCUCGCGAGAGCAAGCGGACCUCAUAAAGUGCGUCGUAGUCCGGAUCGGAGUCUGCAACUCGACUCCGUGAAGUCGGAAUCGCUAGUAAUCGUAGAUCAGAAUGCUACGGUGAAUACGUUCCCGGGCCUUGUACACACCGCCCGUCACACCAUGGGAGUGGGUUGCAAAAGAAGUAGGUAGCUUAACCUUCGGGAGGGCGCUUACCACUUUGUGAUUCAUGACUGGGGUGAAGUC